UUCCACACUAAGACACACCAACAACGAAACGCUUCUACCGCCAGCUGCCUAAUUGGGUGAGCGUCAGAAUGUCCUCGACGGCCUCGCCCAAUGCCGCGCUUCUCGCGGAAAUCAACGACCUGAAGGUGAAACUCGCCGAGAAGGAGGCGCUGCUGCAGCCGGAGGGGGUAGUAUCGAAGAAGUCCAAGAAAAAGAGCCAAGCGAACAUGAUCGAGAAAGAGCCCGUGCAGGGCUGCCGCGACUUCCCUCCCGAGGACAUGCGAGUGCGCAGGCACCUCUUCGGCGUCUUCCACGAUACGGCCCGCAGAUUCGGUUUCGAGGAGUAUGACGCCCCAGUUCUAGAGUCGGAGGAGCUCUACAUCCGCAAAGCGGGAGAGGAGAUUACAGAACAAAUGUUCAACUUUGUGACGAAGGGUGGCCACCGUGUCACACUGCGGCCUGAGAUGACGCCGUCAUUGGUGCGUUUGCAGCUCGCCAAGGGCCGCUCUCUGCUUCUGCCCGCCAAGUGGUACUCCAUUCCGCAGUGCUGGCGCUACGAGGCCAUCUCCCGCGGUCGUCGCCGUGAGCAUUACCAGUGGAAUAUGGAUAUCGUCGGUGUGAAGAGCGUGGCCGCAGAGGUGGAGCUCGUGUGCGCCGCAUGCGCGGCGAUGGAGUCGCUCGGCCUCACCGCGCAGGACGUUGGCGUGAAGGUGAACUCGCGCAAGUUGCUGCAGUGUGCACUCGCCGGCGCUGGCGUGCCGGAUUCUCUCUUUGCUCCAGUGUGCGUGAUCGUCGACAAGAUGGAGAAGCUGCCUGAGGAGCAAAUCCGCGCGGAGUUAAAGGACCUGGCCCUGGAUGGCCAGCAGGCGGACGACAUCAUCAAGACACUUAGUCUCAGGUCUGUCGACGACUUCGACAAGGACCUCUUUGACAAGAACGGCGCCCUCUCGGAGCUCGCAGAGUUCUUCUCGCAGAUGCAGAUGUACGGGUACGGCGACUGGAUCCAGUUCGAUGCGAGUGUCGUGCGUGGACUCGCCUACUACACCGGCAUCGUUUUCGAAGCGUUUGACCGCAGUGGUGAGUUCCGCGCGAUCUGCGGAGGCGGCCGCUACGACAACCUCUUCACUCUGUACGGCAGCCCGCAGCCUGUCUCGUGCGUCGGGUUCGGCUUCGGCGACUGUGUCAUCGUUGAACUGCUGAAGAAGAAGAAGCUGAUCAACUCGCUGCCGCAUAAGGUGGAUGAUGUGGUGAUUCCGUUCAAUGAGUCUCAGCGAGGCACCGCCCUGAAGGUAUUGAAGCAGCUGCGUGACAAGGGCCGCAGUGCCGACAUCAUUAUGGACUCCAAGAAGGUUGCUCAGACCUUCAGUUACGCGGAUCGUAUCGGCGCUGACCGUGCCGUGCUGAUUGCGCCGGACGAAACGGAGAAGGGCAUGGCGCGCGUGAAGAUGCUGCGCGAGGGGCAGAGGGGUGAGGAUGACCGCGGUGACCCUGUGCCCUUCGAAGACUUGUAGCCUUUGAAACUGCUGUCUUGUGCGCUUCCAUCCGCAUACUGGGGCGGGUGCAUUCCCCUCUUUCCUCUCUUCUUCACGGUCCGUUGGCAGGCAGCAUCGCCGCCCCUUCUCCGAGGACGUCGCGCGCAUAUCACUGUCGCGGCAGCAGCAUCAAACACUCGCUUAUGUGGGGUUAUCUCUUCUUUGUUCUAAGGGCGGCCGCGCUCUCAUUUCUUGUUUUCGCUUUCUCAGCGUUGUGCUACGUGUUGUCUCCUUGGUUGUUCCUCUCCACGCUAAGUAAGUCGGAAAGCCCGCACACUUAUGGACCCGGUAGGGUGCUGAACAAGCGCCUGUAUGGACAAAGAUGCACGCACGGUACCAUCACGGAGUGUGCGCUUUAUGCUCGUGCAUGCUGCGCCAACUCGAAUCGGUUAUGGAAAAAGGAUAGGUAGCAGGCAAGACGAGGUGGGCUCUUCAUGCAGCGUUGCACGAGUCGCGCUUCGUCUCUCACCGUCGUACAUGUGCAAGUUUUGCGUUGCCUCCCUCAAUAUCCGUAUCUAAGACUCGAAUCUCGAUAAGGUGUAGCAAUGUGCAUAAAAGCCCGCUUUCCUUCACGAGAAAUGUGCGGCCUCCUCUCUGCUUUUUAUCCCUCAACUUAGCCGCGACCCAGCCCCUACUGUCCCUUUCUCGCUUCUUGUCUCCUCACACGCCACAAAACGUGACUAUCAAAACGCUUAUGUGCCCGCGCUUGCGCAG
rnacentral:misc_RNA from 1 species